rnacentral:rRNA from 1 species
UACGUAGGGUGCAAGCGUUGUCCGGAAUUAUUGGGCGUAAAGAGCUCGUAGGCGGUUUGUCACGUGGGGUGUGAAAGCCCACAGCUUAACUGUGGGUCUGCAUUCGAUACGGGCAGACUAGAGGCAGGUAGGGGAGAACGGAAUUCCCGGUGUAGCGGUGAAAUGCGCAGAUAUCGGGAGGAACACCGGUGGCGAAGGCGGUUCUCUGGGCCUGUACUGACGCUGAGGAGCGAAAGCGUGGGGAGCGAACAGG